rnacentral:rRNA from 1 species
GGACUACUGGGGUAUCUAAUCCUGUUUGCUCCCCACGCUUUCGCGUCUCAGCGUCAGUACCCUCCCAGAUGGCCGCCUUCGCCGCCGGUGUUCCUCCCAAUAUCUACGAAUUUCACCUCUACACUGGGAAUUCCGCCAUCCUCGUCGGGACUCCAGUCUGCCAGUUUCGGACGCACUUCCAUGGUUGAGCCAUGGGCUUUCACAACCGACUUAACAGACCGCCUACACGCGCUUUACGCCCAAUAAUUCCGAGCAACGUUUGCACCCUCUGUAUUACCGCGGCUGCUGGCAC